rnacentral:snRNA from 1 species
UUGCUCACUCUGGCAACACAUAGACUAAAAUUGGAAUGAUAGAAGAAUUAGCAUGGUUCCUGCACACGGAUGACAUGCAAAUUCCUAAAGCAUUUUAUUUUUUA